rnacentral:sRNA from 1 species
UGGGAUCUAGUUCUCAAAUGACACAGAAGAACUUCCUGGUCUUUAUUUGGUUUAAGAAUAUCAGGCUUCUUAUCAAUAUUUUAAGCUCUUGGGGUGGUAUUCUUCCGUAAAAAGGAUGCAGGAUGCAGCGAGUUGACAAAAGGCAGAUAAAGAAUACGGACUGCAACCCAAUUUCGAACCUGAAGUUAUUUCACUCUGAUUUUUAGAGUUGACAUUGGAAAUACAGGAGAAACAGAGAAAGAGAGGAGAGGAAUCUUUCUCAUCAUAUCUAGUUGACAUACCAGUAUCUUGGGCUGUGAUGUAGGACAGGGGACUUAGGAAAAGAGUGCAAAAUAAAAUCAGAUGAUGAAAACAAACACUAAAAUUAAGGAAAACAGAUGGAAUGCCCAGGUGCUACAUGGGUGAAAAUGGACAGUAUAACAAAAGGAACUAAAUGAAGCAAAAUUCGUCAAGCGUAUCGCCGUGAGAAAGGUAUAACCAUUCAAAAUCGCCCCUACAGUCCGUUUAUGGGAUCGAACUUCGAACUGGAGACGUCGACAGAUAAAAAGAGAAUGGAAAAAGGAAAAAGGGGAAUGGGGAAUGGGGAAUGAUGCCCCAAAAGAGCACGAAAACCCCAACUGGUUUCUAUCAAUCAAAAAGAAAUGAAAUAAAAUAAAAUAAAAAACAGAAGAAAAAAAGGAUCCUAUCUAACUAACUACAACAUCUCCCGAUCAUCCAGCCAAUGCGCCCGCGCAAUUCCACAACCCAGAUACAUGGAAUUAUUCCGCUGCUCGAACGCGCCGUACUGAUUUUCCAUCGGCUGAAGUAGCAGCACUGCCUCCGACCCACCUUGUCCAUGUCCCUGUUGCUGGCCUUGCACAUCCCACAAACCAUGCCCCUUGUACACGGGGUCAACGGCCGGCUUGUACGACG